rnacentral:lncRNA from 1 species
CAGAAAAGGAAGGAGAGGAAGGGAUGAUUACUCUGAAGUGGGCUGUUGUACUCCGAGUUUUAAAUGAACCUAUAUAUUAUCUUAAAACUACUGAACCAGUGCAAAACUGCAACAUUAGUAUUCCCUGAAUGGACCUGAUAAUUCUUUUUGACUAAUAUCCUUGUUUAAUGUCAGGGGAUCAUUUAACUCUGCCCCCCAUCAUUAAUUAAAGGACAAUUUGAAGAGCAAGGACACAGGAAGAAUUUCCAUACACUUAAAAAGAUAACACCUGCAAACACGAAAAUAAUUAUACGCAAGGGUAGUCACUGCAACAUGAUUUUUAAAAGCAAAAGACUGAAAACGAUCCCCAGUCCACCAAUCAAGAUUGCUUGAACCCAUGAUGCUGAUGGCAGAAGGAAUGAGGUCUAUUUCUGCAUCCUGCCGGGGGUCGUCUCCAGGAAUAGAGCGAGAGCAAGACUGUGAAAAGCUGAAUAGAGUUACUGUGUAUUCCAAAAAGAUGCGGAGUGAGUGUGCCAGAAGGUGCAGGAAACAUUUACCUCGCUGGAAGGUAGAGAAGCAACAAGAAGGCUGGAGAGAUUUUAUCGGUGGAAUUCAAGAGCACCAUGUAGAGGCU